GAAAUUCCUUCUGAACUAAUAGCAUGGGAACCUACAGAUGGUGCCAAUCUUGCAGGAAUAAUCAACAUUUUCUUUGGUUGGUCAAUUUGGAUAACGUCACUACCUUUUGUGAGAGCGAAGAAUUUUGAACUUUUCUACUGCACUCAUCACCUAUACAUCAUCUUCAUUAUCUUCUUGGCUAUGCAUGUUGGCAACUUUUUCUUUUGCAUACCUGCUGGAGCAAUAUUUCUUUUCAUCAUCGAUCGUUUUAUCAGAUUCUUCCAAUCUCGAAAUAUUGUUGAUAUAAUUUCCACAAGAAGCCUUCCCUUGAUGUGGGAGUGAUUGUGUG
rnacentral:misc_RNA from 1 species